AGAGUUUGAUCCUGGCUCAGAGCGAACGCUGGCGGCAGGCCUAACACAUGCAGUCGAACGGAUCCUUCGGGAUUAGUGGCGGACGGGUGAGUAACACGUGGGAACGUGCCUUUUGGUUCGGAACAACUCAGGGAAACUUGAGCUAAUACCGGAUAAGCCUUUCGAGGGAAAGAUUUAUCGCCAUUAGAGCGGCCCGCGUAGGAUUAGCUAGUUGGUGGGGUAAAGGCCCACCAAGGCUACGAUCCUUAGCUGGUCUGAGAGGAUGAUCAGCCACAUUGGGACUGAGACACGGCCCAAACUCCUACGGGAGGCAGCAGUGGGGAAUCUUGCGCAAUGGGCGAAAGCCUGACGCAGCCAUGCCGCGUGAAUGAUGAAGGUCUUAGGAUUGUAAAAUUCUUUCACCGGGGACGAUAAUGACGGUACCCGGAGAAGAAGCCCCGGCUAACUUCGUGCCAGCAGCCGCGGUAAUACGAAGGGGGCUAGCGUUGCUCGGAAUUACUGGGCGUAAAGGGAGCGUAGGCGGAUAGUUUAGUCAGAGGUGAAAGCCCAGGGCUCAACCUUGGAAUUGCCUUUGAUACUGGCUAUCUUGAGUACGGAAGAGGUAUGUGGAACUCCGAGUGUAGAGGUGAAAUUCGUAGAUAUUCGGAAGAACACCAGUGGCGAAGGCGACAUACUGGUCCGUUACUGACGCUGAGGCUCGAAAGCGUGGGGAGCAAACAGGAUUAGAUACCCUGGUAGUCCACGCUGUAAACGAUGAGUGCUAGUUGUCGGCAGGCAUGCCUGUCGGUGACGCAGCUAACGCAUUAAGCACUCCGCCUGGGGAGUACGGUCGCAAGAUUAAAACUCAAAGGAAUUGACGG
rnacentral:rRNA from 1 species